rnacentral:rRNA from 1 species
UUUGAUGGCGACCGGCGCACGGGUGAGUAACACGUAUCCAACCUGCCGAUGACUCGGGGAUAGCCUUUCGAAAGAAAGAUUAAUACCCGAUGGCAUAGUUCUUCCGCAUGGUAGAACUAUUAAAGAAUUUCGGUCAUCGAUGGGGAUGCGUUCCAUUAGGUUGUUGGCGGGGUAACGGCCCACCAAGACUACGAUGGAUAGGGGUUCUGAGAGGAAGGUCCCCCACAUUGGAACUGAGACACGGUCCAAACUCCUACGGGAGGCAGCAUG